rnacentral:rRNA from 1 species
GCCGCGUGUGUGANGAAGGCCUUCGGGUUGUAAAGCACUUUUGUCCGGAAAGAAAUCCUUGGCUCUAAUACAGUCGGGGGAUGACGGUACCGGAAGAAUAAGCACCGGCUAACUACGUGCCAGCAGCCGCGGUAAUACGUAGGGUGCAAGCGUUAAUCGGAAUUACUGGGCGUAAAGCGUGCGCAGGCGGUUUGCUAAGACCGAUGUGAAAUCCCCGGGCUCAACCUGGGAACUGCAUUGGUGACUGGCAGGCUAGAGUAUGGCAGAGGGGGGUAGAAUUCCACGUGUAGCAGUGANAUGCGUAGAGAUGUGGAGGAAUACCGAUGGCGAAGGCAGCCCCCUGGGCCAAUACUGACGCUCAUGCACGAAAGCGUGGGGAGCAAACAGGAUUAGAUACCCUGGUAGUCCACGCCCUAAACGAUGUCAACUAGUUGUUGGGGAUUCAUUUCCUUAGUAACGUAGCUAACGCGUGAAGUUGACCGCCUGGGGAGUACGGUCGCAAGAUUAAAACUCAAAGGAAUUGACGGGGACCCGCACAAGCGGUGGAUGAUGUGGAUUAAUUCGAUGCAACGCGAANAANCUUACCUACCCUUGACAUGGUCGGAAUCCUGNCGAGAGGCGGGAGUGCUCGAAGAGAACCGGCGCACAGGUGCUGCAUGGCUGUCGNCAGCUCGUGUCGNGAGAUGUUGGGUUAGUCNGCAACGAGCGCACCCNUGUCUUAGNUGCUACCCAGAGCAC